AACGCAUAUUGCGCCCUUUGGUAUUCCGAAGGGCAUGCCUGUCCGAGCGUCAUUAUCAACCCUCAAGCCCGGCUUGUUGUUAGACCCUUCAAUGUGAGUUGACGGGCCUUAAAAACAACGACGGUGUUGUUAUAACCCCUGAUGCAACGAGCUUUAACAAGCAUGCGGUCAAGGUGGUGUAGCGGCCCGGUCUAAAUUCAAAAUAUUUCAAGGUUGACCUCGGAUCAGGUAGGAAUACCCGCUGAACUUAA
rnacentral:misc_RNA from 1 species